rnacentral:misc_RNA from 1 species
AAUCCUCACGGGAUCAGCACUUUCAU